rnacentral:misc_RNA from 1 species
GAUGAAGAACGUAGCGAAAUGCGAAACUUGGUGUGAAUUGCAGAAUCCCGUGAACCAUCGAGUCUUUGAACGCAAGUUGCGCCCGAAGCCUCGGCUGCCUGGGCGUCACGCAUCGCGUCUCCACCAAUCCGCCUAGUUGGAGGGAAGGAAGAUGGCUUCCCGUGCCUCACCCGGUGCGGUUGGCCUAAAUUUGGAGCCCGCGGCGCUUAGCUCUCGCGGCGAUAGGUGGUGAACAAGGCCUUGGCCGUGCAAACAACCCGCUGCGAAGCUCUAUGUCACGUGCGCUCGUCGGACCCUUUGAAGUUGCCUUUGGUGACUUAAAACCUUUGCGACCCCAGGUAAGGCGGGGCUACCCGCUGAAUUUAAGCAUAUCAAUAAGCGGAGGA